rnacentral:rRNA from 1 species
AAGCUUUUAAAUUAUUAUUAAAGAUAUUUAUUCCUUUGUAGUGUAGUUUAAUAACUAUCUACAUAGUAACUUAACAUUAAGUAUGUUAGUUUAUAUUUAAUAGUAUGACGCUAACAAUUUUGUUAAUAAUUGAAAAUGUUAGUAUUAGUAAUAUUAGUAUAUGUGCUAAAGGAACUCGGCAAAAAACCGCUCAACUGUUUAUCAAAAACAUAGCUAUAUGAAUUAGUAUAUAGUUGUUUCUGCUCAAUGACUUAAAUAGCCGCAGUACUCUGACUGUGCAAAGGUAGCAUAAUCAGUUGGCUUUUAAUUAGAGUCUGGUAUGAACGAAAAUAUGGGUAGUAACUGUCUUAGCACAUUUCUUUGAACUUGUUAAACAAGUGCAAAUGCUUGUAAUUAAAAAAUAGACGAGAAGACCCUAGAAACUUGGACAUAUUUUUGUUGGGGCGACAGAAUUACAUUUAACUAAUCUUUUAAUACAUGACGCGAUGCUGAAAGAAUAAGUUACUCUAGGGAUAACAGCAUAAUUUCAUUAGUUUGUGACCUCGAUGUUGGACUAGGUACUAUACCCUUAAGGCAAGGAUAUAUUGUGCUCUGUUCGAGCAGAGUUACCUACAUGAUCUGAGUUCAGACCGG